rnacentral:rRNA from 1 species
UGGGGAAUAUUGGACAAUGGGGGCAACCCUGAUCCAGCGAUGCCGCGUGAGUGAUGAAGGCCUUCGGGUUGUAAAGCUCUUUCACCCACGACGAUGAUGACGGUAGUGGGAGAAGAAGCCCCGGCUAACUUCGUGCCAGCAGCCGCGGUAAUACGAAGGGGGCUAGCGUUGUUCGGAGUUACUGGGCGUAAAGGGCGCGUAGGCGGCGCUCCAAGUCAGGCGUGAAAGCCCCGGGCUCAACCUGGGAGGUGCGCUUGAGACUGGAGGGCUUGAGGCCGGAAGAGGGUGGUGGAAUUCCCAGUGUAGAGGUGAAAUUCGUAGAUAUUGGGAAGAACACCGGUGGCGAAGGCGGCCACCUGGUCCGGACCUGACGCUGAGGCGCGAAAGCGUGGGGAGCAAACAGGAUUAGAUACCCUGGUAGUCCACGCCGUAAACGAUGAGUGCUAGACGUCGGGGCUCUUGGAGCUUCGGUGUCGCAGCUAACGCAUUAAGCACUCCGCCUGGGAAGUACGGCCGCAAGGUUGAAAC